rnacentral:rRNA from 1 species
AGAGGGUGCGAGCGUUAAUCGGAAUUACUGGGCGUAAAGCGUGCGUAGACGGUUAUUUAAGUCGGAUGUGAAAGCCCCGGGCUCAACCUGGGAAUUGCAUUCGAGACUGAAUAGCUAGGGUACGGUAGAGGGAAGUGGAAUUUCCGGUGUAGCGGUGAAAUGCGUAGAUAUCGGAAGGAACAUUAGUGGSGAAAGCGACUUCCUGGACCAGUACCGACGUUCAGGCACGAAAGCGUGGGGAGCAAGCAGGAUUAGAUACCCUGGUAGUCCACGCCAUAAACGAUGAGGACUAGACGUKGGAGGGGUAAGCCUUUCAGUGUCGUAGCUAACGCGCUAAGUCCUCCGCCUGGGGAGUACGGCCGCAAGGUUG